rnacentral:lncRNA from 1 species
AUGGGAAACACUAGAGAUCUCUUCAAGAAAAUUAGAGAUAUCAAGGGAACAUUUCAUGCAAAGAUGAGCUCAAUAAAAGAGGGAAACGGUUUGGACCUAAGAGAAGCAGAAGAUAUUAAGAAGAAGUGGCAAAAAGACACAGAAGAACUGUACAAAAAAGAUCUUCAUGACUCAGAUAAUCAAGAUGGUGUGAUCACUCACCUAGAGCCACAUAUUCUGGAAUAUGAAGUCAAGUGGGCCUUAGAAAGCAUCACUAGGAACAGAGCUAGUGGAGAUGAUGGAAUUCCAGUUGAGUUAUUUCAAAUCCGAAAAGAUGAUUCUGUGAAAGUGCUGCACUCAAUUUGCCAGCAAAUUUGGAAAACUCAGCAGUGGCCACAGGACUGGAAAAGGUCAAUUUUCAUUCCAAUCCCAAAGAAAGGCAAUGCCAAAGAAUGCUCAAACUACCGCACAAUUACACUGAUUUCAGACACUAGUAAAGUAAUGCUCAAAAUUCUCCAAGCCAGGCUUCAGCAAUAUGUGAACCAUGAACUUCGUGAUGUUCAAGCUGGUUUUAGAAAAGGCAAAGGAACCAGAGAUAAAAUUGCCGACAUCCACUGGAUCAUUAAAAAAGUAAGAGAGUUCCAGAAAAAAAAAAAAACCAAAAACAAAAACAUCUAUUUCUGCUUUCUUGACUAUGCCAAAGCCUUGGACUGUGUGGAUCACAAUAAACUGUGGCAAAUUCUGAGAGAGAUGGGAAUACCAGACCACCUGACCUGCCUCUUGAGAAAGCUGUAUGCAGGUCAGGAAGCAACAGUCAGAAGUGGACAUGGAACAAUGGAGUGGUUCCAAAUAGGAAAAGGAGUAUGUCAAGGCUGUGUAUUGUCACCUUGCUUAUUUAACUUAUAUGUAGAAUACAUCAUGAGAAACACUGGGCUGGAUGAAGCACAAGUUGGAAUCAAGAUUGCUGGGAGAAAUCUCAAUAACCUGUUAUAUGCAGAUGACACCACCCUUAUGGCAGGAAGAGAAGAAGAACUAAAAAGCCUCUUGAUGAAAGUGAAAGAGGAGAGUGAAAAAGUUGGCUUAAAGCUCAACAUUCAGAAAACGAAGAUCAUGGCAUCUGGUCCCAUCACUUCAUGGCAAAUAGAUGGGAAAACAGUGGAUACAGUGGCUGACUUUAUUUUGGGGGGCUUCGAAAUUGCUGCAGAUGGUGAUUGCAGCCAUGAAAUUAAAAGAUGCUUGCUCCUGGGAAGGAAAGUUACGACCAACCUAGACAGCAUAUUAAAAAGCAGAGACACUACUUUCCCAACAAAUGUCCGUCUAGUCAAGGCUAUGGCUUUUCCACUAGUCAUGUAUGGAUGUGAGAGUUGGACUACGAAGAAAGCUGAGCUUCAAAGAAUUGAUGCUUUCGAACUGUGGUGUUGGAGAAGACUCUUGAGAGUCCCUUGA